AUGGAGUUCGCCACGGGGGCGAUGAACUCUCUCCUCCCCAAGCUGGGGGAGCUGCUCAUGGAGCAGUAUGAGCUGAAAGAGAGUGUGAAGAAGGGGAUUGAAGAACUCAAGGCCGAGCUCGAGAGCAUGCAAGCUGCCCUUGUCAAGGUGUCCAGGGUGCCUUUGGAUCAACUUGAUCCGCAGGUCAAGAUUUGGGCAAAUGAAGUCAGGGAGUUGUCCUACGCCAUCGAGGACAGCCUCGACUCCUUCAUGACACGUGUCGAGGGUGUUGAGCCAACCAAGCCCAAAAUCAAGCACUUAUUGAGGACGGCCCGCAACGAGUUCACCAAGUUCAAGGCACGCCAUGAAAUAGCCAGUGACAUCAAAGACAUUGAGAGCCAAGUUAGGAAGAUCAAGGAACGAUAUGACAGGUACAAGUUCGAUGAUGUUGUUGCUAAUUUUGCAACAACUACAGUUGACCCUCGUCUCAAAUCUCUAUACAACAAGGUAUCUGACCUUGUUGGUAUUGAUAAGGUGAUUGAUGAGCUAGUCAAGAAUCCAAACACAAAGAAAGUUCUCAGGGACAUCCUGCUUGAACUUGACACUCAGCUAUACACAGCCGCAGCAACAAUGGAUGAUAGGCAGUUGAUCAACCAGCUGCAAAAAGUCCUUGCAGGCAAGAGGUACUUUAUUGUUAUUGAUGACAUCUGGGAUACACAAACAUGGGAGACGAUUAAGUGUGCUUUCGAGGACAGUCAUCCGAAAAGUAGAUUAAUCAUAACUACCCGUAUUGUUGAUGUUGCCAUGAAAGCUGGUGGUAUCUACCACAUGCAACCACUUUCUGAAGAUUACUCCAAAAUGUUAUUUUAUACAAGAACAUCUGGUAGUGAAGGACCUCCUGAAGUGACUACAAAUUUUUUAAAGAAAUGCUGUGGCGUGCCAUUAGCUAUCAUUAUAAUAGCUAGCUUGCUUGUUGCUAAACACAGUAAGGACUGGUCUAAGGUAUAUGAUGCCAUUGGUUUUGGCCAUGAAGAGAGUGACGAUGUUCGUAACACAAGAAAGAUAUUAUCUUUUAGUUAUUAUGAUCUAUCUUCCAAUCUAAAGACCUGUUUGUUGUAUCUUAGUCUGUUUCCUGAAGAUUCUUUAAUUGAUAAAAUAUCACUGAUAUGGAGGUGGGUUUCCGAAGGAUUUAUACCAUAUCGAGAAGGGAUGGAGUCAUUUGAACUUGGAGAGAUCUAUUUCAACAAGCUUGUAAACAAGAGCAUGAUACGGUGGAUAGAUCCUGAUGAUAAUGAUGGCCGAGGUGGAUGUCGUGUCCAUGACAUGGUGCUCGAUCUCAUCCUCACCAUAUCAAAUGAUGUAAAUUUGGUUACAAUACAUGAUAUGGAGCAGCAUGGCACAUGUUCACGAGGAAAACGAACCAACUGGGUUCGCAGAUUAGCACUUCAUGGAAGUGGGGAACACAACUCUAGCCUUGCACUGGAGCAUGUAAGGUCAUUUAAUGUUGUCGACUGGCGUGCCAACAAUAUGCCCCUACUAUUGAGAUUUAAAGUACUGCAUAUGCUAGUUAUUGAGGACUGUGUUUUUUCAGAAGGUAGCAGCCUUCAGCAUCUCGGUAAGCUGGUGCAGUUGAGGUACCUGGGACUAGUGAAUACAGCGGUCAAGAUCCCAGAAGGAAUAGGACAUGAUCUGAAGUUUCUUGAGAUUUUGGAUGUAAGGGGUGGUUUGAUAAGUGAGCUUCCACCAUCUGUUGGUGAGCUUAUGAAUUUGAGGUGCUUGUGGGCCAGUAGGCAUACAGUGAUGAAGGGGGAGAUAGGGAAACUGACAUGCCUUGAAGAGCUGGAGCUAUAUUCGGUGGAGAAGUGCCCAAACUUCUUCACAGAGGUGGGGAAGCUGACAAAGUUAAGGGUGCUCAAGAUCUUUUCCAGUGAAAUAGAGGAGUCUGCGGGCAAGGCUUUGAUGAAAUCUCUGCCCAACCUACAGAAGAUCCAUAGUCUGACGUUCUUGGAUGAUGGUGGUAAGGCUCGGUAUUCGGUUGCCCCCAAUCAUAGCUUGGAAGGUUUGGCAUCCUGUACAAAGCUGUACGAGCUAGUUCUGCCUAUCAUAGUUAUAGCGAGGGUGCCAUCAUGGAUCAAUCAUUUAAGUGUUCCACUCCUUUCUCGUCUAGGGCUGCAUGUGGAUGCGGUAGAAGUUCGGGAUGUUCAAACCAUCGGCAGGUUGCCGUCGCUCCUCGCCCUUGCUCUGUGGAGUAAGAAUGAAAAGAAGAUAUCAUAUACUUUUGGAAGCAAUGAGUUUCACAGGCUGAGAUGGUUGUUCACGAAGAAGAUAGAGAUCUCUAUUGGAGAAGGAGCACUGCCAAUGCUUGAAGAGCUGAUCUAUGGUGCCAGUGCUGGAAGAAAGGACGGGGUCAGCUUGGUGCCGUGGAGGACAAAUAACUCCCCUUUUCUGAAGGACGUCACCUGUUGGAUUGAUUAUGCUAACAGCGGCUACAGGGAAGUAUGCGAAGCGGACGAAGCGCUGAGGGAGGCUGCCGCAACCCAUCCCAAUGCUGAGUAUCUCAGUCUCAACAUAGAAAUAGAAAACUACGAUAUGGAGGCAGCCAAAUUCAUCGAUAAUCUCCAGUGGAUCCUACAUGAUUUGGACACACCCAAGGAUGUGGGCUGUCCUGCAUACCAUUACCAGGAAGAAAGGAUACAUCGCAUGAUUAGAUCACUGGAGAGAAGAUUACGUGACGCCGCGGAGCCGUGGGUCGGGAGGUACAGCGAACAAGAGAUACGUGGCCUUGUUAGCAAAUUCAAGAGUUGGCUACAUGAUCAUGCAGGCACCGACCAGGAUGAGGCGGGCAAAAGUGAUGCCACGGUUAGUGAGGACGAGGACCAUUAUUAUUGUUUUCACAAGGACGACCAAGCAGAGGCAGACGAUGCUGAAGCCAGUUGCAAUUAA
rnacentral:rRNA from 1 species